rnacentral:lncRNA from 1 species
ACAACCUUUUAUUGAAAGUGUUUCUCAAUCCUCCUAUCAUUCUGGUAAAUUCAAGUACACUUUCUCACCUAGAGAGUUUUUCAAGAAACUUAUCCUUUCAAGUUUCUCAAGAAAGUCCCAUCAUCGAGAUUGACAAUUGUAAACAAAAUAUGUGUCACAUGGUAGGAUGCGAAUUUCAAAUUAUUAAAUACCUAUUAGAGUCUUUUGUUUAAAACGUCUCCCGAAUCUUCCCAUCUUCCUAGUAAAAUCUGAGAUCGAAUUCUCACCUAGAGAAUUACUCAAGAAAGUUUAUCCUUACAAACUUCAUGGGAAGGCCUCAUCAUUGAAACCUUA